AUGCGGUAUGACGGUACCCUUUCGAAUAAGAGGUUGCUAACUCUGUGCCAGCAGCAGCGGUAAUACAGAGACCUCGAGCGUUAUCCGGAUUUACUGGGCGUAAAGCGUCUGUAGGGGGUUUGUUAAGUUCCAAGUAAAAUCUUAAGGCUCAACUUUAAGUUCGCUUGGAAAACUAAUAAACUGGAGUCCAGCAGAGGUGCAUGGAACUUGCGGUGUAGGAGUGAAAUCCGUUGAUAUCGCAAGGAACACCAAAGGCGAAGGCAUUGCACUGGGCUGGUACUGACCCUGAGAGACGAAAGCGUGGGGAGCAAAACGGAUUAGAUACCCGUGUAGUCCACGCCGUAAACGAUGGAUACUAGAUGUUCGGGGAUUCGACCCCCUGGGUGUCACAGCUAACGCGUUAAGUAUCCCGCCUGGGAAGUACGGCCGCAAGGCUAAAACUCAAAGGAAUAGACGGGGAUCCGCACAAGCGGUGGAGCGUCUGGUUUAAUUUGAUAGUAAGCAAUGGACCUCACCAAGGUUUGACAUCCUAUGACAACCCUGGAAACAGGGCUUCCUUCGGGCAUAGUGACAGGUGCUGCAUGGUCGUCGUCAGUUCGUGCCGUGAGGUGUUCCGUUAAGUCGGGAAACGAACGAAACCCUCGUCGCAUGUUACAAAUUUCAUGCGAGACUGCCCUGGUCAACCGGGAGGAAGGCGGGGAUGACGUCAGAUCAGCAUGGCCCUUAUACCUUGGGCUACACAGGCGCUACAAUGGCCGGUACAAAGGGUUGCAAAA
rnacentral:rRNA from 1 species